AAUUAAUUGCGUAGUGACUUGGUAAUUUUUGUCUAUAAUUUUAAUUUUAAUUUUUAAAUUGGUAUAUUUAUUAACAUAUUAUUAUUAUUGUGUUUUAGUUAUAUAUAUAAUAUUUUAUUUUAUUUUAUAAAUUGUCGCCUCACAUCAAAAAGGCGAGCGCUUCGCUGCGCGCCUCUCACCUCACUGAAGCGAGCCCUCAUCGCUAUUUGUCGCCGCGCGCUAUCAAAAACACUAUGUUGUAAACAUAUUAGCGCGCCUCUCACCUCACUGAAGCGAGCCCUCAUCGCUAUUUGUCGCCGCGCGCUAUCCAAAACACUGGAUUCAGGUAGCCAAAAAUAUAUGUUUGUCUGGUUUUCUAGUCUUACCUGUCCAUGCUUGUUUUAUGAUUGCAUUAAAAUCUUCUUUAGAUGACGGCUAUUAAUAGCAUUUUAUGCUGCAAAUGGGAUGAGGAUUUGCAGGAGGGAUUAGAGACCCAAUUCUUUUGAUCUUUGGUCUAAAUGUACACCUCUGACAGAUUUUCUUGUGAAACUUGG
rnacentral:lncRNA from 1 species